rnacentral:rRNA from 1 species
CUCUUGGGUUGUAAACCUCUUUUCUCAGGGAAGAACAAAAUGACGGUACCUGAGGAAUCAGCAUCGGCUAACUCCGUGCCAGCAGCCGCGGUAAUACGGAGGAUGCAAGCGUUAUCCGGAAUCAUUGGGCGUAAAGCGUUCGUAGGUGGCUGUGCAAGUCUGCCGUUAAAGACAGUGGCUUAACCACUGAAAGGCGGUGGAAACUGCGCAGCUAGAGUGCGGUAGGGGUAGAGGGAAUUCCCGGUGUAGCGGUGAAAUGCGUAGAGAUCGGGAAGAACACCAGUGGCGAAAGCGCUCUACUGGGCCUGCACUGACACUGAGGGACGAAAGCUAGGGGAGCGAAUGGGAUUAGAUACCCCAGUAGUCCUAGCCGUAAACGAUGGAUACUAGGUGUUGCUCGUAUCGACCCGAGCAGUGCCGUAGCCAACGCGUUAAGUAUCCCGCCUGGGGAGUACGCACGCAAGUGUGAAACUCAAAGGAAUUGACGGGGGCCCGCACAAGCGGUGGAGUAUGUGGUUUAAUUCGAUGCAACGCGAAGAACCUUACCAGGGCUUGACAUGUCCGGAAUCUUCCUGAAAGGGAAGAGUGCCUUCGGGAGCCGGAACACAGGUGGUGCAUGGCUGUCGUCAGCUCGUGUCGUGAGAUGUUGGGUUAAGUCCCGCAACGAGCGCAACCCUCGUUCUUAGUUGCCAGCAUUGGGUUGGGCACUCUAGGGAGACUGCCGGUGACAAACCGGAGGAAGGUGGGGAUGACGUCAAGUCAGCAUGCCCCUUACGUCCUGGGCUACACACGUACUACAAUGCUACGGACAGAGGGCAGCUACCUCGCGAGAGGCGGCAAAUCCCAUAAACCGUGGCUCAGUUCAGAUCGCAGGCUGCAACUCGCCUGCGUGAAGGCGGAAUCGCUAGUAAUCGCCGGUCAGCAUACGGCGGUGAAUCCGUUCCCGGGCCUUGUACACACCGCCCGUCACACCAUGGGAGCUGGCCACGCCCGAAGUCGUUACUCCAACUGUUCGCAGAGGAGGACGCCGAAGGCAGGGCUGGUGACUGGGGUGAAGUCGUAACAAGGUAGCGGUA